CUUACAUACAUAUGCUCAUAUAUUCACAUAUGAGUAGAACGAGAAGUAAAACUGAGAAAGCAGAGCUGCCGACAAAUGUGAACUAACAUGACAUGUAUAUCAGUUAUUUCAACUUGCACUUUAGGCCUUGCCAGAUUCCUCGCAACCUGGUGGCCUGAAGGCAAUGAAGCUGACGCAUUGCACUUGGCGCAUGUUGUCGAAGCCGAUGACGCGGACAUAGGCGUCAGGGUACUCCUUCUUAACCUCCUCCACCUCGUUGAGCACCUGUGUGGCGUCGGUGCACCCGAACAUAGGCAGCUUCCACAUUGUCCAGUAUCGACCGUCGUAGUACCCGGGGGAGCUGUUGUGCUCACGGAAGACAAAGCCAACCUUGCUGAACUCGAGGCAGGGUACCCACUUGGAGCGGAUCAAGUAGUCGACCUGCUUUAGGAGGGCCUCCGUAGAGAGGGGUGGCAAGUAAGACAGGGUCUCAAACUUCUUGAUGCCCUCAAUUGGCCACACCUGAAUAGAUGGAAUGAACACAAUUGAUCAACACUUAGUGCUUAAAGAAAGACCUAACAAUAAGGCAAAAAUUACUCCUUAUGGUCUUCCAUACAUUGUGGGGGGUCUCGACAAGCAAGAAAGCUCAAGGACAGCUCUUGCUUAUGGGUAGUGUACGGGCAUUAAAAAUGAUAUUAUCUACUCCCUCCGUUCCAAAUUAGUCGUUGCUGAAAUGGAUGUAUUUAGAACUAAAAUACAUCUAGAUACAUUCAUACGUGCGAUAAGUAAUUCGGAACGGAGGGAGUAGUACACAUUGCAAUAAAAUCGAUUUCCAUUCACCAAGUUUAUGAGUUAAAUAUUCCUACACAUGUGAACCUGCUUACGGACUACAUUGUGAUGCACUAUCUAUGUUUAGUUGGCCUGGUAUGUUGGUUACACGUCCUAAGGAUAGCUUUGCCUUUGUGCAGUGGAAAUACCCAAUAAAUUAAUCAAUUGGGCCGACAAGAAUAUUCAUGGCAGCUUAGUGUCCGUCAUCCUUCGGGAAAAAAAUUGAAAAGAAAGAUAACCUCAGCCUCUGUAUCAAGGAUGCAUACUGUCAAUUUUAUUAUGUUAUUCAAUUGUGUCUAACAAAAAAAUGCAGUUUUAAUUCAAAACCACCUUCCAGACGAACAAAAUUGCUACACCUAUAAGUAUGAUGAUGUGCCUUGACCGCACCAUCCUUCGCCAAAAUAAUAUUUAGCUUUCAUACCUGCAUGCAUCUGAUCCUUCCGCCAUUGCUGACGCUGCUGAGGCCGGCGCUGCCGGAGCGGCGGCUGACUGGGAGGCCGGCGGUCGACUUGAGCCCCUGGAAGGGUGCGACGGUGGUGGCGGACGAAGCCAUCACGGCUGGGGCCAUGGCGGAGUACGUGAAUUGCUAGGUGGGGAGGCGAUAGCUAGCUAGGCCACACUUGACUUGAGGCCUCCUCAUGCCGCUCCAGUAUAUAUCAGCAUAUGCGCAGCGCCGGUCCUUUCAAACGAGAUUUCGAAGGGGUGGUCGUCGUUUGCUUGCUGCAAGGCGCCUUAUCCCUCUAGAUCAGCGGAAGAGGGGUGGAAAAUAAAAAUGAAUGCGACGGAAAGACCCCAAAACGUCAUAUAAGAUCACCAUUGAUCAUCCAAAUCUAAGAGCAUCUCCGGCCGUGCCCCCAAUACGGACCCCUCACGCGAUUUUUUCGCCCCGGCGCCGAAAAAACGGUCCAGUCGUGCCCUCGGGAGCCCGUUUUUCGCCGGCUUGGUCCGAAAUCAGUGCCGGCGGACCCAGGCCGAACCCGGGGCGAGCGGUUUUGGCGCGAAAGAGACGUGGGUCCGUCGAGUCAGCGACGCGCGUGCCUCGUCGUCAUCGGAACGCCUCGGUUUUCCGCGUGGAAUCAAUGGCAAGGCUGACGGGCAGCCUUGCCAUUGAUUCCUCACAGGCGGCACGUCACGGGCGGCGCGGCAACGCCUUCCCUCCCGCCACGCGUAUACACGGCGCGGGCUAUAUAAACCGGUGGCCUCCCUUGCCUCUGGCCACACCAGCCCACAGCCGCGCAUCGACCGCCGCCGAGCUCUCCCUCUCUCUCCAUGUGCAGCCGCUCGCCGACGCUUCUCCCUCCCCCCCCUCUCCCAAGCCCGAUGGCCGCGCGAUUCCCCGGCGACGCGGCGGCAGCAAACGGCUUCGGCCGCCGCUCGCUCCACGAGUGGGAGGCCUGGCUACUCUUUGAGGCGAACAUCCCGGCGCCACUGGACAUGCGCGCCGGGCCGAUGGGGUGGAGGCUCAGCAACGGGGGUGUGCCCAUUCUUCCGUUGCCCGACGUCGAGGCGCGCCCCGCCUUCUUCGCCGCCGAGGUCGACCGUGUGUGAGCCUCCCUGACAAAGGAGCAGCGCGCCCUCCCCCAGUACGCCGCCGACAACCACGCGUCGUGGGCGGCGUACUUCCAGCACCGCCAGGAGCAGAGGCUGGCGUCCACAUACGGGGCGCCGGUGGUGGGUAGCGUCAAGAACAACGAGGGCCGCCGUGUAUGGUGGGGCGCCCCCGGCCGCACGCUCCAGGACGUGUUGAAGCACAUCGAGUGCGGCAACGACCCGCCGCUAGCAUACCCUGCUGCGGUGGCCGCCCCGGUCCACCGCCGGAGCGCCGGGCAAUGGAUGCCCAGGAGGUUCGGCUCCUCCUCAACUUCCUCCUCCCACUCCUCCUCCCGCUCCUCUUCCCAUUCCUCCGGCUCGCCGGCGGUGUUCGUCGUCAAGGCUGAGCCCGUAGCGGAGACGCCGCUCGGCCGGCGCACUCGCAGCGCCGGCAUCGUCAUAAAUGAGGGCGCCCGGCGCGCAUCCUCCUCGUCUCCUCCAUGCUUCGUCAAACCGAAGACAGAGCCGGGGCUCGCGGCCGUGAAAACAGAGCCGGGGCUCCCCUCCGUGAAGACGGAGCACGACACCGGGGAGCUCGAUGACGCGGUGGCCUGAAAUGGGCGCGCGAUGACUGGGUGCACAUGGAGAUGGAGCGCCAGCGCUGCGCCCUAGAGCAGUUGAAACAUCAGCGCUGGGGCCGCGACGAGGGAGGCGUCGUCGUCCUCGACGACAGCGAUGACGACGACGCGCCGCCACCGACACCGGUCUUCGAUGGCGACGCCGGGUAGGGGUCCAGCAGGGGCAACCGCUUCAAGGAGGAGAAGGCCUCCGAUGACGACGGCGAGGAUGGUGGCGACGGUGGCGACUUCGCCGCGCUCAGCGACUUCUUCGGUCCGUAGUUGUAGUUUCGGCUUUUUAAUAAUAAAUUUGCUAUGUAAAAUGUCGAACAUGUCUAAUAUAUGCCAAGUUUGCCGAAUUUUAGCCAAAUUUUAGCUGAACUUUGCCGAAUACUCUUUUCUUUUUAACAUAAACGGCGUCUGGGGCGGCCCUGGGGUCGGCGGCUAGGAACCCACUCGUCCCCAGGCCGAUUUUUUGCGCCGGCUCGCCCCCAGCGGCGAUUUUACGCGCCCCCUGGGGGGCCAACGGCUGGAGAUGCUCUAAGGUCACUGCAUUCGUUAUGAACAAAUUCUUUGGUGCGAAACUAAACCACACCAACACUAAAAUUCAUGAAGGAAAGCCAUCCAUACUCUUAUGUUUCAUUAUACGAGACAGUAAUUAUUUCUUCAUUUAAAUUGUUUAUGUGGCUCCACCAUGGUAUUAGAGGUGGCAUUUUCCUAUACGAUGUGAUAUCAUCAUUUUUUUUCUAAUUUAGUAAAACUUCUUCAUAUAGGUCUCACAAUCUGAAAAUCCUCAUUCGCGUGCAGGCGUUGGGUGGGUGAAGCGCUCCGCACAAUAAUUCAGGUUCCAACCGCACGCUACAUUCCCUUUCAAACUUUCACAUGUCGUUUAAUUGAGAAUGGUGGUCCCAUAGUAUAGCAGUCCCACUGCCAUGGAAUUUAAUGUGUUGGGCCCACCCCACCUGUUACGCGCAUUCGCAGAAGGGCUAGUUGUGUUGGCAUCAUGGUUUUCACUUUUAAUGAUAUAUCUUUGAAUUUCACCAAAUUUCAGUAGACAGCGAAAUAUUUACCUUUCGGCCAAAAUAUAUCAGUCAUUUUAGUUGUACACAUGAUUUCAAAUAUUUUCAUAUAUUUUCUUCAAUUUCGAGUGAAUAUUUUGGUCUUUUGGUCAAAAUGCAAACAGACAUUACUGGAACUUAGUAAUUUUGGUAGGUACUGAAAUGAAAAAACAUGGGUGCCAUGGCAUGCAGGCCCACCACCGUGAUCAAUAUAUAAUCUCCCACUAAAUUUCAGGGAGGGGGGGCUAGUUUCCCUACAAUAAUGAAUAAUCCAGGGGAACGGAAAUAUCACUGCACACUUUCCUAAUAGGGACGUGGACAGCCAGUCGGAAAUCGACCACGCGGACGCGCGUGCGAAUUAGCCUCCCCCCGGCAUGCGUGUACCUCCACAAUGUAAUGGGCUAUUGUUGUUUGCAACUAAUUGUUUCCUAAUGUUAUGACUGAAUAUGGAAAAAAAAUUCAUGAGACAUAUAGGGUUUGUGCCUCUUAGGCAGGUUUUAUGACAAAAUUGAUAGUUUCGUCAUGGAAGGACCGAUCUUUAUGACACCAACACCAAACAUCACAGAUAAUUCAUGGUAGAAGGCCAAAAUAUUACUAGUACAAGGUAUCUUGGGGCUCAUCAAUUGGAUAUGUGAUUUGCACAUAUUUGUGCCCUCUACACGUUCUUUGGUUUAUUGGAAUUUCUGUAAUACUGCAAAAACAAGUAUCUAAUUGUGGUGUCAAAUGGUUAGAAAAACUGACAUGUCUUUGAUGAAUCGAUGCAGGAAUAUGGCUCACAUGACAAGUGCAUUAUGAUAGGUUUGUCCUUGUCUUGUUAUGACACCUUUGUUUGUCCUUUUUUCUAGUUCUUUAAUUUGUUUUUGUUUUUUUGUUAUUAUCUGUUUCUCGUGAAUUCCGUAUUGUUUUGCCAUUAGUUUCCAAUGGGUCUCGCCAUCUUUUAUGUGUUUCUCCACAGUAUUUUUUUAAGUACUUUGGUAUUCCAUAACAAUUUCCAUAUUAGACAAUACACAACAUAUGAUUGAGCAAAAAAUGCAUGAGAAGAAAACAAUGCAAGACAUAGGCAUUUCCGGCUGCAAACAAACCAACCUUUCCAUCGAUUGAUGGCAAGACACUAAUGCGUUGAUUGCAUAUAAUAUAUAUGUAUAUGUAUAGCCGGUGCUAUAAUUCUCAUAUGCAUCCUCCUCGACCUACAUUGGUAGGUGCUUACAUACAUAUGCUCAUAUAUUCACAUAUAUAUGAGUAGAACGAGAAGUAAAACUGAGAAAGCAGAGCCGCCGACAAAUGUGACUAACAUGACAUGUAUAUCGGUUACUUCAACUUGCACUUUAGGCCUUGCCGGAUUCCUCGCAACCUGGUGGCCUGAAGGCAAUGAAGCUGACGCAUUGCACCUGGCGCAUGUUGUCGAAGCCGAUGACGCGGACAUAGGCAUCAGGGUACUCCUUCUUAACCUCCUCGACCUCGUUGAGCACCUGUGUGGCAUCGGUGCAGCCGAAC
rnacentral:lncRNA from 1 species